GUGAAUCAUCAAAUCUUUGAACGCAAAUUGCACUCUCUUCGGAGAGUAUGCCUGUUUGAGGUUCAGCCUAAAAAAAGUCGACAUAGUUGCUGUUUCGCGGUGACAUUCGUCGGAAAUUGGGUCAUCUUAAACCUUUGGGUUUUAAGCGGCUUAAAAUUUUCUUGAUUCCAUGAACGUUUCUAAGCUCUUAUAUCUUUACACGUUUAAGGUAUCGAUUUAUUAGACGUGUCCGUCAUAUCGGAUCGCGUCCCUAAUCUUACUU
rnacentral:misc_RNA from 1 species